ensembl:rRNA 5S_rRNA 5S ribosomal RNA
ACCAGCAGCUAUAUCACCCUGCAACUCACAACAGGCAACCCACUGAAGCUAAGCAGGUGUGAGCCUGGUCAGUACCUGGAUGGGAGACCUCCUGGGAAAAACUAAGGUUGCUGCUGGUG